GGCAUGCAGUCGCUAAGGGCCAAUAGGGACCUGCCCGGCCGCCCGUUUCCGCUGCGGGGCCGCGGCGUCGGCGCUGCCAGCCACCCUGGCCGAGAGAGAGAAGCAGAAGUUUUAGCUGCCUUCUUUCCUGUGUAUCUGACUUUUUUGAGGAGGAGACAAGCAAAGUGAGACUGAUCUGAGGAAGACUGAAGAAUGGCGAAACUGUUUUGGAGGGAGCUAGUUAAGCCAUAUAUGUUCCAGAGAUGUUUUCUUCUUCACUCCCAUACCUGAGAGAUUUCAUAAGAUUCAGUAGAUCUUCCAUCAGUGAUAUUUCCUCCCUGUGCCAAGGGGGCAUACGAAGAAGAAAAUGAUCACAGGAUUCAAAAGAUGGAGAUCCUGCCAUCAAUGACUGAGCUUCCCUGAAAUCUUCCUUAUCAGUUACUGCCAAGAUGAGAAGGAUAACAGAAAGGAGGAGUUUUAAGUGGUUUUAAUGAUAGUUAAUUUCACCUAUUUAUCAAAUGACAGUCGUUCUUAAAACUCUUCAAUUGUUGUACAAAAGGACACUUUUUUGGAAACUGUUUUUGUAAAAUUUACUAUUUUGCAAACAAAGUCACUGGGUUUUUUUAUGUAUAUAAAAUGAA